GAUGAACGCUGGCGGCGUGCUUAACACAUGCAAGUCGAACGGACAGGCUCCUGCUUGCAGGGGUACUCGAGUGGCGAACGGGUGAGUAACACGCGGGUGAACUGCCCUGCACUUCCGGAUAUGCCUGGGAAACUGGGUCUAAUAUCGGAUAGGACGAUGGUUUGGAUGCCAUUGUGGAAAGUUUUUCGGUGUGGGAUGGGCUGGCGGCCUAUCAGCUUGUUGGUGGGGUAAUGGCCUACCAAGGCGUCGACCGGUAGCCGGCCUGGGAGGGUGCACGGCCACAAUAGGACUAAGGGACGGACCAGACGGGUACGGGAGGCAGUGGGCGAGAAUAUUACGGAGUGAGCGCGAGCCAGAUAUGGCGGCGUUGGGUGCGGGAAGAUCGCUUUCUAGGGGUGAACACCUGUCGCAGGAGACAAGGCGCAAGUGACGGUACCUGGAGAGGAAGCACCGGCUAACUACGUG
rnacentral:rRNA from 1 species